rnacentral:rRNA from 1 species
AAUAGAUACCCUGGUAGUCCACGCCGUAAACGAUGAGUGCUAAGUGUUAGGGGGUUUCCGCCCCUUAGUGCUGCAGCUAACGCAUUAAGCACUCCGCCUGGGGAGUACGGUCGCAAGACUGAAACUCAAAGGAAUUGACGGGGGCCCGCACAAGCGGUGGAGCAUGUGGUUUAAUUCGAAGCAACGCGAAGAACCUUACCAGGUCUUGACAUCCCAUUGACCGCUAUGGAGACAUAGCUUUCCCUUCGGGGACAGUGGUGACAGGUGGUGCAUGGUUGUCGUCAGCUCGUGUCGUGAGAUGUUGGGUUAAGUCCCGCAACGAGCGCAACCCUUGUUCUUAGUUGCCAUCAUUUAGUUGGGCACUCUAAGGAGACUGCCGGUGACAAACCGGAGGAAGGUGGGGAUGACGUCAAAUCAUCAUGCCCCUUAUGACCUGGGCUACACACGUGCUACAAUGGACGGUACAAACGGUUGCCAACCCGCGAGGGGGAGCUAAUCCGAUAAAACCGUUCUCAGUUCGGAUUGUAGGCUGCAACUCGCCUACA